CGCUAAUGUGGGAACCAGGUCAGUCGAGGCGUGUAACGGGCCAUGAUGUAUCGACUCCAUUAAGGCAUGCCGGCUGCCCAAGUUCCGGCCCCAUUGGCGCGCGCGAUCGAAUAAAGGUGUAUCCUGUUCAAGAGGCGAACGUUAGCGCGGGCUAAACCACAUGCAAGUCCACAGGAAAGGGCCUCGCCUGAGUAAAGUGGCGGAACGGGUGAAGUAAACACCGUGGUAAUCUGCAUCGGCGGGGGACAAACAAUCGAAAGAUGCUAAUACCGGGUACGUCGGCGAGGGUUGCGACCUGCGGGAAAGUCGGCCUCUUCAUGAAAGCUGACACGAAGGAUGAGCCCGCGGCCCCAUCAGCUAGUUGGUGAGUGAUGGCUCACCAAGGCCAAGACGGGUAGCUGGUCUGAGAGGAUGAUCAGCACACUGGGACUGAGACACGGCCCAGACUCUACGGGAGGCAGCAGUGGGGAAUAUUGGGCAAUGGGCGCAAGCCUGACCCAGCCACGCCGCGUGAGUGAUGAAGGCCUUCGGGUCGUAAAGCUCUGUGGCGGAGGGACGAAAAAACGCUGGCUAAUAUCCAGCGGACUGACGGUACCUCCUUAGCAAGCACCGGCUAACUCCGUGCCAGCAGCCGCGGUAAUACGGAGGGUGCAAACGUUGCUCGGAAUCAUUGGGCGUAAAGCGCACGUAGGCGGCUUCGCAAGUCGGGUGUGAAUGCCCUCGGCUUAACCGAGGAAGUGCAUUCGAAACUACGGGGCUUGAGUACUGAAGAGGGUCGCGGAAUUCCCGGUGUAGAGGUGAAAUUCGUAGAUAUCGGGAGGAACACCAGUGACGAAGGCGGCGACCUGGGCAGAUACUGACGCUGAGGUGCGAAAGCGUGGGGAGCAAACAGGAUUAGACACCCUGGUAGUCCACGCCGUAGACGAUGAGCGCUAGUCGUCGCGGGUAUUGACCCCUGCGGCAACGAAGUUAACGCAUUAAGCGUCCGCCUGGGAUGUCCGGCGGCG
rnacentral:rRNA from 1 species